rnacentral:rRNA from 1 species
UGCAGAAUCCCGUGAACCAUCGAGUCUUUGAACGCAAGUUGCGCCCGAAGUCACUAGACUGAGGGCACGCCUGCCUGGGUGUCACGC